GCUGGAUAUAUAGUCUCUGUCUGCCCGUGUAUGUUCGUCUUUAAUCCCUGUCGGCCUGAAAGAUUUAGCAACAUAUGACCUACAUACAUCCUGUGUGAUAAAUAAAGGCAGAGGGGACAGGAGGGGACAUGUUGUUUGGACCUCUAGAAAACACAAUGAGCAGAAGUCGGUGUGGAAUGUGCCAAUAAGUGAAUCGAUCGAUUUAUGCGGUUACGCAACUACCUGCGUUAGAUCGACACUGUGUGGGGAUCCAACUGAGGCUGAACUUUUCCAAAGUCUUCAUAAUUUUCUUUUUCCAAGGCAUUGAAUCCAGUUUCUUUUUUAUUGAAAACAUUUGACCGUCAGUUGUGAACCUCUGGCUGGGGUGACACCACAGCAAAUGAGCUCAACGUAAUUGGAUUUUAUUAUUAUUAUCAAUAGAGGUGUCACGAUUCUCCAAAUCUUGAUUUUCAAUUUUAAGGUCACGAUUCGAAACGAUUAUCAGUAUUUUUUUCUCUCUUUUAGGCCACGUGGGUCUGCCACUUGUCUAAUUUAUUCUAGAAUCAUUGGUUUUAUGUCAUGAUAACUCAAUCGAUUUCUAUUGUGGUGUCAUGACUGAUAUCAGUGUACCACACUAAGGCCUAUUGUCAAAUUUAAAUAAUGUAUUCACAAUAUGUAACAGUUACCAGUAAAUUCUUAAAUGCAUGGGUUUCCACCACUGGAAUAGCCCCUAUAGGGCUAUAGUGUUGCCCCACUCAGAGUCCUGCUUUCACUCACUGACCAGCUGAGACACGCAGAGGAAUGUCGGAAUGAUGUGGACCUUACUGUUGGACGAGUUCAGCAGCUCACCAUCGUCCUGGACAAGCGUUGGUUUAAGGACUACAUCAGAUUUGGAAAACUUCCAGAACCAUAUCCUGAUGUACGCAGGAACAUCAGGAGGAUGAUACUACAAGAAGUGUCUGCGAUCAUCAGACCAGACGAUCACAUGUUUUGGUGUUCUCGCUCCAGUACAGCCACCUACAACAUCUGAGCUUGUUACAACUCAUGUAAUGUGUGGUAUAGGUGUCCUGCCCUCUGUGUACAUGUGUAUGUCGUUCUGAACUUGUGUAAAUAAAAGUUUACAGA